AUCUUAUUCUCAUCUAUAUAUAGUCACAUUAUAUUAUUGGCUCAACUUAUAUUCUUAUAGCAAAAUAAUAGCCUUUUCAUAGAAACUAUCCUCAAAACAUGAAAUUAAUCUUGAGUAUGUUUCAGCCUAAUUUUGGAUUCUGGCUUAGAUUGUUUCACAAGAGCUCUAAAGCAAUGACACUUUAUUGAGAAGCGGUUGUAAGACAUAUACAAAUACAUGCUCAGCUUGCAAACCCAUAACAUCAACGGCGUUUCAGAUGUACCUACAGUAAUCCCGGGCUUGAAACGAGAGGAGAGUUAUGGUGUCAGCACACCUUCGCCUUCAAUUAAAGUGGCAGCUGUCCAGUCCAAGUCGAGUACGGUUGUCAAGGGCUUCGACGUUCCAUCAUCCAACAAGACUGCUAAUACUCCAUCGAACAAGGCUGACGCUUGUAACCUGAAGACUGGUGAAACAAAUAGAUCUCUCUCGCAAAGUCCCGAACCGGAACGGAAACCUCAGUCCUCCGUUGUAAUUGGUGAUAAGGACUCAGUUCAAAAAACGCCGCAUUCCAACCGGAGCGCAAAAGCGGAAGAGGAGUGGAAGAAGCGAUGCAGCAGUGGUGGCAAAGAGCAGCUGCACAUGGUGACGAUAGGCCACGUGGACGCCGGCAAGAGCACCCUGAUGGGUCACCUGCUCUAUCGCCUCGGCCACGUCAACCAGAAGACCAUGCACAAGUACGAGCAGGAGAGCAAGAAGAUGGGCAAGCAGUCCUUCGUCUAUGCCUGGAUUCUCGACGAGACUGGCGAAGAAAGGAGCCGAGGCAUCACGAUGGACGUGGGUCAGUCGCAAAUCGAGACGACGAGUAAGUGUGUGACGCUGCUGGACGCCCCGGGUCACAAGGACUUCAUCCCCAACAUGAUCACAGGCGCCGCCCAGGCCGACGUUGCGCUCCUCGUUGUAGAUGCCACACGCGGCGAGUUUGAAACUGGAUUCGAAAGUGGGGGACAGACGAGAGAACAUGCUCUAUUAGUGCGUUCGUUAGGUGUAAACCAGUUGUGCGUGGCUGUAAACAAGUUGGAUACGGUGUCGUGGUCAGAGGGGCGUUUUAAAGAGGUGGUUGGCAAGAUGCAGUCGUUCUUGAAACAGGCUGGCUUCCGAGACAGUGACGUCACGUAUGUGCCAUGCAGCGGCCUCACCGGCGAGAACCUCACCGCGCCUCCCUCCGCCACCUGCGAGCAGUUGUCCUCCUGGUACAAGGGUCCUUGUCUUCUAGAUGUCAUAGACAGAUUCAAGUGCCCUGAGCGACCAGUCUCCAAACCUUUCAGGCUCUCCAUUAAUGAUAUUUUCAAAGGCACCGGAUCCGGGUUCUGUGUGUCUGGCAGAGUUGAAACCGGUAUGGUACAACAAGGUGACAAACUUCUGGUUCAACCGCUCAAUGAAACUGGUACCGUCAAAGCUCUCUACAUUGAUGACGUGUCGGUGCAAUCAGCGUUUGCUGGCGAUUAUGUGAACGUGACCCUGUCGAACAUCGAUCAGCAGAACAUGGCGAUCGGUUACAUUUUGAGUGACCCCCUCCUGCCGGCCCCCGUCACUUGUAAAAUCGAAGCAAGAAUCGUCAUUUUCAACAUAACCGUCCCAAUCACUUCUGGAUUCCCUGUGGUGUUACACCAGCAGUCACUGGUGGAGCCGGCCGUGAUAGUGAAGCUGGUGGCUCAGUUGCACAAGAGCUCAGGCGAGGUGGUGAAGCGGCGGCCGCGCUGUCUGCUACGAAACACCACCGCACUUGUCAUCAUCGAGACGUCGCGGCCGAUCUGCGUUGAACUCUAUCGCAACAUCAAGGAGCUCGGUCGGCUCAUGCUCAGGAGUGCCGGCACCACUAUAGCUGCCGGCCUUGUCACCAAGGUCUCUAAAAUCAUUCUAUGAUACAGUUCUUGAAAUCUCUGAAGAAAUGUUAUAAGUUACAUAGCCUCCAUUUCGACGAUUUAAAAUCUUGUAAGAGUUUCAGAUCGAGUUUAGAAAAUAACCUGUAUAAAUGAAGUUUUCUACUGGAACUUUUGGACCUCUAACUUCUACAAUAAAAUUUAUUGUUCUUAUUUAAACGAAUUGCUAUUAAAUAAUACAAUAAUUAAACAUCAA